rnacentral:rRNA from 1 species
GACGAACCGAGCGAACGUUAUUCGGAAUCACUGGGCUUAAAGGGCGCGUAGGCGGGCGAUCAAGUCAGGGGUGAAAGCCCCCAGCUCAACUGGGGAGGUGCCUCUGAUACUGGUCAUCUUGAGGGAGGUAGGGGCGUGCGAAACUUCCGGUGGAGCGGUGAAAUGCGUAGAUAUCGGAAGGAACACCGGUGGCGAAAGCGGCGCGCUGGACCUCUUCUGACGCUGAGGCGCGAAAGCCAGGGGAGCGAACGGG